CAAGUGACCCCGGUCUAACCACCGGGAUGUUCAUAACCCUUUGUUGUCCGACUCUGUUGCCCUCGGGGCGACCCUGCCUUCGGGCGGGGGCUCCGGGUGGACACUUUCAAACUCUUGCGUAACUUUGCAGGCUGAGUAAACUUAAUUAAUAAAUAUA
rnacentral:misc_RNA from 1 species